rnacentral:rRNA from 1 species
GAACCAGCGGAGGGAUCAUUACUGAGUUACCGCUCUAUAACCCUUUGUGAACAUACCUAACCGUUGCUUCGGCGGGCAGGGGAAGCCUCUCGCGGGCCUCCCCUCCCGGCGCCGGCCCCCACCACGGGGACGGGGCGCCCGCCGGAGGAAACCAAACUCUAUUUACACGACGUCUCUUCUGAGUGGCACAAGCAAAUAAUUAAAACUUUUAACAACGGAUCUCUUGGUUCUGGCAUCGAUGAAGAACGCAGCGAAAUGCGAUAAGUAAUGUGAAUUGCAGAAUUCAGUGAAUCAUCGAAUCUUUGAACGCACAUUGCGCUCGCCAGCAUUCUGGCGAGCAUGCCUGUUCGAGCGUCAUUUCAACCCUCAAGCACCGCUUGGUUUUGGGGCCCCACGGCACACGUGGGCCCUUAAAGGUAGUGGCGGACCCUCCCGGAGCCUCCUUUGCGUAGUAACUAACGUCUCGCACUGGGAUUCGGAGGGACUCUUGCCGUAAAACCCCCAAAUUUUUUACAGGUUGACCUCGGAUCAGGUAGGAAUACCCGCUGAACUUAAGCAUAUCAAUAAGCGGAGGA